GGCUGGAUAGUUCAGUGGUAGAAUUCUUGCUUUGGGCAUACAAUUCUGAAUGUAAGAGGUCCUGGGGUAAGUCUUAAUCUGAAGUCCCACACAUCAGCACUCUCUAACCUGGCACAGUUCAAGUCCCAGUUCAGCCC